AGCGUAAUCUAGAAGAUUUUGGGAUUCUUUUUUUUUUGAAAAAGGUAACAAUUAUAUUCUUCAACACCCAAAAAAUGGGGCUGGUAUCUAAUAUUUACAAGUACAACCCUUGAAAAUCUUACAGAGAAUAAAAAAGGUCUAGUAGUGAUUCUACAUCACCUAUCAACUGUUCUUUACACCAAAUAUGAAAAAGAGAAAUACAAGAACUCUUGAUUUUCUGUGUUGAACUGCUCUUGCCUUCAAAACAUCUUGCAUUCCUCUCCUUCCAAAUUGUCCACGCUGAAACAAUCUUCCACCAUUCCUUGUGACAAGUUCUUCCCCUAAUACUGUUCCAGAUGCAUAUCAGGCCAAUGGUGUCUUUGGGCAUUACCCAAACAAUACCAGCUAAUGCUAUAAAGAGUUGCCAAAGUUGUCUAGUAAUAACACAAUGUAAGAAAAGCUGCUCAUUGGUUUCAUCUUCCUGUUGACAUAGAAAGCAAGUAAAGUUGGUCUGAAUACCUCUUCUUUGGAGAAUUUCUAGAGUGAGACAGGCUUUUAUUACACUAACCAUGAAAAGAAAAUAACUUUGAAUGGUGCUUUGAUCUUCCAAAUCUUUUUCCAAGGCCAAGGAUAGUUGGGGUGUCCUUUUGAUGAUAGAUAGUUGUAUGCAACCUUGACUGUAAAUUUAGAGCCCUUGCCUCCUUUCCAUGUAAGAGAAUCCUCCGCCUCACUUAAUCCUACAAAACCUUCUAGCACUUUGAGAAUCUCAGUAGCUCUAGUGACUUCCCAGUCAUUGAAAAGCCUUCUAAAAAUUAGGUUCUAGUCCUGGGAGUUCCAAGUUUCUUCUACUGAGGCAUUAGGCGUAGUGGUGAGAUUGAACAGAUCAGGAAAAAGAUCUUUUAAUGCUUCGUGACCAAUCCAAUCAUCAUGCCAAAAUGAUAUCAUCCUCCCAUUUCCUAUCCUAAAGCUUGUGUUUGUUGUAAAUUCCUCCCAUAGAUUCCUAAUGGCUUUCCAAUUGCCAACUCCAUAAGGAGUUCUCACUGGUUUGGUGCUCCAAUGUCCUGAUUGCUCGUACCUGCAGUUGACAACUUGUCUCCAUAAGGCUUGCUUCUCAGUAUUGAAUCUCCAUAACCAUUUCAUUAAGAGACUCUUGUUAUGCAAACUUAAGUUUCUAAUGCCUAGACCGUCAAUUCUCUUGCUAGAUAUGAGAGUAUUCCAAUUAACAAGAUGGGAGCCUUUGGACUCCCUGUUGCCUUCCCAAAUAAAGUUCCUUCUCAGUUGGUCAAUUCUUCUCCUUACUUUGGCUGGGAUAGGAAAUAAGGACAUGAUGUAGGUGGGUAGGGAGUCCAGGACAGAGCUCACUAAAAUGAUCCUUCCCCCUAGGGAUAAGUAUUGUGAUUUCCACCUUGUAAGUUUCUUUUCACAUUUAUCUAGUACCCCUUCCCAUAUAUCUGCAGCUUUGUUCUUGGAACCCAAAGAUAGUCCUAAGUACUUAGUUGGUAAAUUUCCUACUUCACAACCCAAAAUGCCAGCUAGAAUUGGACUGUUUGGAACUGCAUUAAUAGUCACCAAUAUGCUCUUUCUCCAGUUAACAUGAAGGCCUGAGAUACCUUCAAAGACUGUGAGAACCAGCCUCAAAUGCAUUAGCUGGGCAGGUUUAGCAUCACAAAGAACUAGAGCAUCAUCUGCAUACAAUAGAUGCGAAAUCUCCAUGCUAUUAAUUCUAUUCUGAACUUCAAAUCCCUUCAAGCAACCACUGAUAGUAGAUGCUCUCAUCAUGCUACUCAACCCUUCCAUGGCUAAAAUAAAUAGGAAAGGAGAUAAAAGAUCUCCUUGCCUUAAACCCCCCAUUGAAGAGAAGAAGCCUUCAGGAGAUCCAUUAAUCAAGACAGAAAACUUCACUGUACUGAUACAAAAAAAAGAUCCAUUUAAGCCAUUUAUUCCCAACCCAUAACUUUCAGAAUAUUGAUCAGGUACCUCCAAUUAACAUGAUCAAAUGCUUUUUCGAUUUCUAGUUUGCAUAGGAUCCCUGGUUUCUUCUCCUUCUGUCUAAUAUCAACACAUUUAUUAGCUAUGAGGGCAACAUCCAUGAUCUGUCUUCCCUUGAUAAAAGUCAUCUGAUGCUUGUUCACCAUUUUAUCUACCACUUUCUUAAGUCUUUUUGCUAGAGUCUUGGAAAUAAUCUUGUAGAUUCCCCCAAUCAGACUGAUUGGUUUGAAAUCUCUUAAUUCCUUGGCUCCACUCUUCUUGGGUAUAAGCGCCACGUAUGUGGAAUUUAAACUCUUCUCAAAAAUUCCAAGAGAGUGAAAAUUCGCCAUAGUUUGUAGGAUGUCGACCUUCAAAAAUUCCCAGCAUGUAAUGAAAAACCCCAUCGAAAAACCAUUAGGACCUGACGCUUUGUCUAUGGAACAUAGCUUUAAACUAUGGAGAACUUCUUGUUCCUCAAAAGGCCUCUCAAUCCAACUUUGCUCCUCAUCUGUAUUUGAAGCUAAAUUCUGAGGAGUAAAAUUAGGCGUCCAAGCUUCUAACUCAGAGUAUAGCUGUUUAUAAAAGGAGAUGAUUUCUCUUUUAAUUUCUACUGGAUCAGAGACUUCAAUCCCAUUAAUCUCCAACUUGUCUAUGGUAUUGAAUCUCAUAUGUGCAUUGGCCAUCUUGUGAAAGAAUUUUGUGUUCUUAUCACCCUACUUUAACCAUAGAAUUCUAGAUUUUUUCCUCCAGGAGGAUUCUUCAUAUUUGGAUAUUUCCUCAAAAUCCAAAGCAAUGUUGGGUUUUUGUAUCAGUUCAUCAUCAGUGAGGUUUCUUUGUUCCUGCAAAACAUCAAGAAUGGUUAGUUGGUUCAAAAGCUCUGUCUUCUUCUUUGCUAGAUCCCCAAAGUUAGCAGCAUUCCACUCCUUUAGUUUAGCUUUCAGGAGUUUCAGCUUUGUUGCUAAAAUAAAGUCUGGGUGUCCUUGUACCGCAAAAGAUAACCACCAAGCUUUAACCAUUUCUUUGAAGCCGUCAACCUCCAACUACCAAUUUGCAAAUUUAAAGUAUGAAGGUUUCCUUUGUUCCCAAUCAUCACAAGUUAGCUUAAUAGGACAAUGAUCAAAAGUGAUUCUUGGUAGAGUAGAUUGUCUAAUAUUCCUAAAGUGUUCAUCCCAUUCAAUGGAAAAAAGAAAUCUGUCAAUUCUCGAAGCAAUCCCCUGAUUGUUCCCUUUGUUCCAAGUGAAGGAACCCUCCAAAAGUGGUGGAUCUACUAACUGUAGAUCAUUGAUUGUGUUAGAGAAAUCUCUCAUAGCUCUGGUGAGACGGUGAUUGUUGCUUCUUUCAUUUGAGUGUCUGGUUGUGUUGAAGUCCCCACAGACCACCCAUGUCCCAUUACAAAGUCCUCUUGAGGCUGCCAACUCCCACCAUAAGUCUUGCCUCUCAAUUCUGGAAUUUGAGGCAUAUACCCCUGUGAUGAACCAUGAAAAAUUGUGGUCUAUUGUAGUCAAUCUACAAGAGAUACUCUGACUUCCAGAAAUAAUCAACUCCCCUUAUAAUACCCUUUUAUCCCACAUGAUAAGAAUUCCCCCACUAGUACCAAUGGCUUCAAGAUUGACAAAAUCCACCCAUCUACUCCCCCAUAAAUGUCUGGCAACACAAGAUAUAUCACCUUCUAUCUUUGUUUCUUGAAGAACUACAACAUCACAUCUCCAUUCAUUAAGAGCAGUUUUAAUAAGACCCCUUUUCUCCCCAUCAUUCAAUCCCCACACGUUCCAUGAUAGUAUGUUAAUCUUCAUUAAUCAACUUUGAGGGUGCCUCUCCCCCUAACCCUAGAUUGCCCAUCUUUAUAUUUGAUGCCUGAUUUUAACCUCUCUAAUUGCUUCUGACCUUUUGGUUUAACUACAGUGUUACUUUGGGUAGUGAUAUCUUCCAUCUUCUUAUGCCUUCUACUGUCAAUCUUCAUGAAUAAAGACAUGGCAUCCCCUUCACACCCUUCAAAAUCAACCCAAAAUUGCUUAUUUAGUUUGAUAACAUUCAUAUGCACCCACAGUGAAGCUUCUUCUUCUGCCUUUUGAAUUUGCAUGUCAAUUGGAAUAGCUUCUUCAUCAAUACAUGUAGAUGGAUCCCCAAAAAUAACCAGUUGUUUGCUACCAUCAUCUGUAUGCAAAGAAUCCCCUUCUUUAAUGAGUUGAUCUCCCUGGACCAAAUGCAAGAUUAGAGGAACCUGAGCCAAGUCCUCUUCGAUGCCUAGAGUAGAGAAAUUAGAAGGAGAAGAAGAACUAAGUUCCAAAAGCAUAGGAUCAUAGUGGUCUUCCUUCAUCUCUUCUGUCUGCUCCUUCGAAGAUAGAAACAUCGAUGCUUCCAAAGAUGGCAAUUGAGGUCCAGAAAUUUGCCUCAUGUCUAUUAGGUUAUUAAUAAUAGGCCCAUUAGAGUCUUUAGAAGUUGGGCCAUUAGAAUCCUCAUCAAUUGGGCCUUUAGAGAUAGCCACAUGUGGUCCCUCAAAUUCUUGGAUCUGCAUCUGCAUCUUCAAUAAAGGAUCAAAAGAAUUGGGACCCACACUAUUUAAUUCCUCAACUUGGGUUAUUAGUGUUGGGCCUUUGCACCUAGAAUUAGUUGAUGGAUCUGUCAAAAUUGGGCCCACACGAAUUAAUUGUUUGUGGCCCAGAACUUCUUUUUGUUUAAAGGAUUCAGCAUCCACCUCACGUGAGUCAGGCACAUGAGUAGGAUUUUUAAAAUUUUCCCCUUCAUUCGAUGUGCCCACGUGACCUAGGUACUGUUGCGCCGAAUAAGUCCCAUCUUCGAGGCUACCCCUAUUAACCAACAGAUCUUCUCUCCUCCCAUCUACACUGGCAAUCGGAGCUGCCAUCACUGUCGCCGGAACUUCACACCAUACAGGAAUUUUGUAUAGAUACCCAUCGCUGUCCACUUGUAUAAAUCUCGGAACCUUACUUCCAUCUCCCUUUACUUUGAUUCUAGCCCAGUGUAAAUGGUUUUUUAGUGUUGUCUCCUCAUCUGUUUCAAUCCAACCACCACAUUGAUCACCUAUUGCUUUGAAACCUUUCUGUGACCAGAAGUUAAUGGGAAGACCCAGGAGCCUGAUCCAAACCCAAUUACGCUCCACCUCUUCAGGACAACAACCAGUAGUAGGUUUCCACCAUUCAAGGAUCACUUUGGUCUUCUUCCAAUGCCAUUCACCCUUAAGAGCAUGUUCGGCAUCCUUCGUUGAAGGUAGUUCAAACAAGAACUUGGAAUCGUUCAUCUGUACACAUUCACUCCAGAGGUAGAUUUCCAUGUGUUACAAGCCCAUCUCCUAAUAUCAUUCAAAGUUGGAGUCUCCUUCGCAGGAGUCAGAACUUUACCAACUAUGCACCUUCUCAGCACAUCUUUAUCCGAUAAUUCUGAACCCUCAGGGAUGAUGACUUUGGAAUUGUUGGAUUUGAUCGGAGAAGAUUUCGUCCCUUCUAAUGGCCAUCAACUGGUUCUGAUUACUUCGUUUUAGGACGACACCCGUUGUGGAUUUCUUACAAUAUGGAUAUUCUUCUCUUCUUCUGGGACAUUUAUGAACCUUUGUAUCUUUUGAGCUAUUAUUCCCCACUCCGCCUUUAAUGUAACUUCUGGUGUGAUAAUGACAUACCUACUCUGCCCCUGUAUAGCAAUGAAGCUAAUGUACCUUCCAUGCUCAUUGUACUUAAGUGUGCAAUAAAAUUCUGCAUAGUGAUCUUUCAUAUUCCACCUCCUUAUUGCCCUGCCAUGCUCCUUUGAGGCCACAUUAAAUACCUCCAUGACCCACUUCAUGACUUUAAGGCUUACAGUUGCUUUCCUCAUCAGGUUCCUACUGCGUUCAACCCAUUCGAACCAAACCUCAGACCUAAAGCAAUUUUUUGUAAUGUCAAAAGAUUUAAAACUAGCAUGAUAAUAAAUCCUGUCACUAUCCAUAUUAAUAGAAUAACUCGAUUGGAGUUAAAUCACACCGAAAAAGGAUAUUCUUCAAUAUUAGGAGGUAGAAGGAAGAAAGUGUUGGAUACUGACUGAAAAAUAGCUGAAAUCUGGACGGAAAAAGAUUCCCCACCACCAGAAAAAAGUAAAAGUUAUCGGAAUUCAGAAAUUGGUAGACGGAUGUGGUCGGAAUAAAGCCUUGAGUAUCCUGUCCCAAAAGAAAAAAUUGAAAAUUGGCGUGGAAACAGCUCACGCACCGGCGCGUGGCGACGGAGGCUUUUGAGAUGAGCUGCACGUAGAGGCGCGUGAAGGGGUCUAUGCCGGAACUGUUUUUAGGGGUAUGAUCAGAACUCUGUUGGCUCUCUAAUGGUGUUCGUGAAAACUCAAGAUUCCAUGUUCUCAGGCUCCUCGGGGGGUGUGCUUGAGAGCUUCUAAAAGUGUAUUUUCUUGUUGUACUACUUAUUUUGGGAUUCUUAGGCUUGAAUCCGAUGCAAAUUUGGCAUUUUGAUAUUGUUUGGUGUGUUCCAAAGGUUGGAACAAGUUUGAAUGAUGUUAUGGGAUAUGUUGGCAUGUUUGGUUGAGGUCUCGAGGGCCUCGGGGUGAUUUCGGAUGGUUAGCGAAGAAAUUGGAAUUGUGUUGCAGCAGCUGAUAUUGCUGCUUCUGGUAUUUUCGCACUUGCAGUUUGGGAACUGUAGGUGCGGCGCCGCAUAAGCAGAGAGUUGGCCGCAGAAGCGAAAAUUUGGUCAGGUGUGCAGAUACCACAGAAGCGGUCAAAUAGCCGCAUCUACGAAGCCGCAUAUGCGGAAGUCCUAUCGCAGAUGCGAUUUUGGGUUUUAAGUGAAGGACCGCAGAUGCGGUGGUUUAGCCGUAGAAGCGAGCAUUGUACCGCAGAUGCGAAAAGGCAUGGGCACAUGAAUUAAAAGAGCCCUUCGCGAAUUUUGGGUUAUUUCACCAUUUUUGACUUCAGCUUGAGAGCUUUUGGAUGAUUUGGAAGAGGGAUUUCAAGGGAACUUCAUUAAGGUAAGGAUUUUGGACCUAAAACACAUUUCUAUGAUAGAAUUUUAUGGAUUAAGGCUGAAAUUAAAUGAAUUAAAGGGCUAAAAAUGGAGGAUUAGGGCUUGAGUUAAGAGGCCUUAAAUUGAGGAUUUGAGGGGUCAUUUGAACUCCGAUUUUGGUAUUCUUGAUAUGCAUAGACUCGUGGAAAGAUGAGGAAUCUAUUGAUGUAAAAAUUUCUGAGUUCAAGAAGUAGGCCCGGGGCUCGGGUUUUAGCAUAUUUUGACGUACUCGUUCUGAUUUUGGAUUGAUUUGACGUGCGUGGAGGCCGAUUCAAGGGGCAAAGGCAUCGCGAGCUAGAGAUUUAGCCGGUUCGAGGUGAGUAAUGAUUGUAAAUGAUGCUCUGAGGGUUUGAAACCCCGGAUUGCACAUCGUAGUGCUAUAUUGAGGUGAGGCACACGCUGGCGACGAGCGUGGGGUCGUGUACUAUUGGGGAUUGUGACUUGGUCCGUCCCGAUUGAUAAUUUUAUCGCGUAUUUGACUAAAAACUAAUUGCUAUCAUCAUUAUUUGGGCUGGAUGUUAUAUUUGGGCCUAGUGCCAGCUAUUUGAACCCUUUGGGGAUUGUUGUUGAUAUUUCCUCACUGUUUUGAUUUUAUACUUGAACUCAGUCAUGUUAUUUUCCGCUAUUUUCAAAACUCAGCCAAGUUUAUUUUGCUUUAACACUUGAAAUGAUAUUUCAAAUAAUAUUUUAGGCUGAGCAUCAUGUUUUACUAUUGCCCGAGUGGCUUAUGUAAUUUUUGACUGAGUAAGGCCGAUGGCCUGUAUUGUGAGGAUACUUUUGGAUCGGGCUGCACGCCGCAACAAUGAGAUACUGAUUUGAUUAUGAGGCCGAGGGCCUGAGAUAUGUAUGCCACAAGGUGGCUUGUUGAUUGAUAUGAGGCCGAGGGCCUAGAUUUGAUGCCACGAGAUGACUUGAUAUUGCGCUUGGGCUGUAAGGGGUCCCUCCCAGAGUCUGUACACCCCAGUGAGCGCGGGUACCCAUUGUGAUGUGAGAUUGAGUUCGAGGGGCUGGUAUUGUUCUGAGAUUGAGCAUGAGGGGCUGGUACUGUUCUAACAUUGCCCGAGGGGCGAACCUUAUGUGCUUAUCUUAUCUUAUUUUCCUGUCAUUUACCUGUUUAAAUUGUGUAUUUGUGACCGAGGGGCGGAUUUCUGUGCUUAUCUGCACUAAUUGUUUUGCAUUCAUUUGCAUAACUGUUGAAAAAGUCAUUUUCAAAGAAGUUUCAAACUGAGCUAAGAUGUUUUUAAGAGAUUUUACAGCUUCAUUGCAUUCUUACUGGAUUUGAACUGCUUCUAUACAACAUCCUGAUAUGCUUUACGUGAUUUCUUACCAUUCAGACUUUAGUUAUGAUUAUUACUCACUGAGUUGGAGUACUGACUUUACUCCUUGCACCUUAUGUGCACAUUCAGGUAUUUCUGAACCCGAUAGCGGGUAUUGGCUGGUCGGAUGCAGAAUCAUCGGAGUUUAGCAGGGUAGUUGCCGACGUUCGUAGCACCACUUUUCUCUCUCUUUAUUUCAUUAGUUUGUAUUUGUACACUUAAGACUUUCAAUUGUAUUUAUACCCUAGUAGAUGCUCUUGACUUGUGACACCCCGGUUAGGGCUGUGUCGGGUUGGAUUUUCUUUCGCAUUAUUAUCGAUAUUUCCGCUAUUCAGUAUUGUUAAAUCAUGUUUAGACUAUUUUUAUGUUGAUUAACUGCUUUAAAAGUUGAAUUGGAUUUAAUUGGCUGGCCUUGUCUUCACGAGAGGCGCCAUCACGAUCGGGUUUGGGGUUAGGGUCGUGAUAAGUUGGUAUUAGAGCUUAGGUUACAUAGGUCUCACGAGUCAUGAGCAGGUUUAGUAGAGUCUCGCGGAUCGGUACAGAGACGUCUGUAUUUAUCCUCGAGAGGCUGCAGAACCUUUAGGAAAACUUCAUAUUCUUGAAUUCUAAUCGUGCGUCCUUGAUUUAGCUUAAAAAGUAACUCUUGAAUUCCUUCCAUGCGUUCGUAUGCGCUUAUGAGCUCUCAAUAUCAGAUAUGCCUUGAUGGCUUGUGAUUCCCUGAUUGAGAGGCGAGAUGUGAUCUCUGUGAGUUGAUGUUGGGCCAGUCUGGAGGACUUGAGGCAAGAUCUUUGUCUAUAGCUUGAGCACCGAGGUGCUGAUUGUGUGAACAAGUGUUUUUGAACUCAUAUGUUCGGAAGUGUCCCUACUAGUGGGAGUGACAGUUGGAUAACUAUGUGAUGAGUAUGCUAGUACUGUGAGAUGUAUCCAUAUGAUUUGGAGGCGACGAGAAGGGUCUACCAUAGGAUAGAAGAACUAUUAGAUGCUUGAAUUCCAUCUUGAUUCGAGGUAUAGCCCUGAGUUAUGGGCAUGUGAAGGAUCUUUUCAUGUUUCCCAGUUGUGAGUGAAGUAAUUUCAUGUUGCGGUAUGAGUUCAGACUCAGGAAGACUAAGUGACUGCAUACAUUUUAUGAUGGUGGAAGGUAUACAGAAAUGUUAGUUAGAGGCAAAGCAGGUGGGUUGUCUCCUGCGAAGUGUUCUAAGGUUGUACGAUCCUUAUGUGUCUGUUAGAAGAUCUCAUUUGCAAGUGAAAGAUAUGUGUUGCAAUUUAAAUUGGGUCGCUUAGAGAGUGGGUGUAACUGUUGCGAGAGUGGAAUGCGAGAUUUGCAGAAGAGUUAAAAUUCUAAAUGAUCUGUGUUUUCACAAGCUUAUAAAAGAUUUGAGUUUAAUCUUACUAUGGUAUCAUGGCAUCAAUAGAGUAUAAUCGUUAUGAGUUAUUGAGUGUGUGUUGAUCUAUGGCUUCGAGCCAAGUGGGGGAGACUUUUAUUGAUUAGACGAUUGCACGGUUAGGUGCUAUGGUGAAUCAGUUAUGGCUUGCGAAAAUUGAAACCGAGGAUGGCUUGAGUAAAGAAAAUUUUUGACAGAGGUUAUAUUAUGCUACAUAGGGUAUAGAACCACGGAAUGUCUUGAGUUGUUGGUAAUGGAUGCUUGGUGCAUAGAGAAGGAAGUGGCUUGGUUGUUCUAGGAUGAGGUUACACUCAGCGGUGUCAGAGUGAUAUUGAGGCACGGGUGGUUCUGUUCGUUUGGUCAGGCUAAUUGCAAUUUGAAUAGAGUGAAUGACUCUCGAGAAUGGUUCUAAUGUGUUCAAGAUUCUACAUGAAAAUGGGGAAUUUUAAGUUGUAUAUGUGGUUAGAAACUGAGUUUUCAUUGGAAGAUGUCAAGAUUUGUGGUAUUUUCUAUAUUAAUUAUGGGAUUCUAUGUAUCAGUAUCAGGAAAGUAAAGGUAACGGAUUUAGAUUCGCAGGAAGUUUUCUCAGAGAGUAUUUUGCAUGUGGUGCUUUUAGGAAUAUUUAAGAGAGUAUUCAGCGGCUUAUUAGUCUUGGACGGUGUGGUUUUGUGCUUGGGUCUCGCAUGGUGAGUCGGGGUUGAGGAAUUGUGGCGUUGUAGCAAGAAGAAGUGUCAAGAUUGUCACACCUCCUUUUUUACACACCCGAAGGGUAUAGAUAGGGAGUUUUUCCAAUUUAAGUGACAUUAUUCGAAAUGAGAUUAUUUAUUUAUCAGAGUCGCCACUUGGAGUAUUUUAAAUGGUGUCCCAAGUCACCGGUUUAUUUUAAAAUCCCAAAUCGAGGAAAUUCGACUUUCCCUUUGAAGUCUGCGAACCAGAAAUUCUAAGUAAGGAAUUCUGUUAACCAGGGAGAAGGUGUUAGGCAUUCCCGAGUUCUGUGGUUCUAGCACGGUUGCUUAAACCAUUAUAAUUGACAUAUUAUCUAAUUUUAAUACAUGUUUUAGCCUAUGGUAUAGUUUAAACUUAUGAACCACUUUUAAUCAUUUUUAGGAAGAUUCAAUGUUAUUUAAAACACGCCUUGAACCACGCCACAUGAAAUGCACCUGCGAUUCAUGACAUAUUUUAUUUAACGUUGUUGAGGAUUGGAGUUGGGUCACAUGAAAUGCACACCCGAGUUUAAGGAAAUUAAAUUAAAAUAGCGUGCCUAAAGCAACUCCGCAAUUUCAAGUUAAUAACAAGGUUUACGAGGGCCAUGGAAAAUUUGACUGAUGGCACACCUCGAUUUCUAAAGAGUUGAAAUUAAUUACAUGAGGGCCAUGGUUAUGGAAAUUAUUGUAGAGAAAUAAUCUAGAUAACAAUCCAAAACCCAAUUUAAUCUUAAUAUCCCCCAAAAUCCCUUUACUCCAAUUUACUGCCGUAAACACUUAAUUGUUCAAGUUUUCAAACCAUACUACUUCUUAUUUCUUAAUUUGCUCCAUUAACCUGACAAAUCGUUUUACAAACAGAAUAGAUAUAAUAUAUUAACCUCAAACAAUUAACAUCCAAACUAAUCAGUGAGCUAAAUGAACUAAAAAUAAGGAGAAAACAUAAACAAAGCUUAAUACCCACCUACAAUAAAUUAAACACAUAAACAAACAAAGCUUUUAAAUAAGGAGAAAACAACUAAAACAAAUUUAAUAUUAACACCCACAGAACAAAUAGAUCUAAAAUAGCUACCAAACUAGUGAGUUAAGAAAAAAAAAAUUGAAAGUAUAAGGAUCUUGUGGAAUGAAGCUUUAAAGGCAUAGAUUAAAUAACAAUAAAGAAAGAAAAUAUGGACCUUUUAUAGCUUCCAAUUCAUCAACAGCCUUCUGCUAUUUACAUGUAGACAAAAAAAAUGCCGAUGGAAUUGAAUGGAACUAACUGUCAACAAGACCACGCCGGAAACCUCGAACGAGCUCCACUAACUCAGCUUAAUUUAUCAUUAAUUGUCACAUUCUUUACAACCACAGUUGACACUCCCGUAUUGUAUUCACAAAAAUGAAAAAAAUCGGGGAGGGGAAAGGUCGAAGACGACGGUUCAGGGAGUGGGGUCGUCGAUUACGGCGCCUAGCUUAAGUCCUAGGUCCUUUAGGCCAACUUUUUGGUUUUUU
rnacentral:lncRNA from 1 species